GACGAACGCUGGCGGCGUGCCUAAUACAUGCAAGUCGAACGGAGUGGCGAACGGGUGAGUAAUGUAUCGGAACGUGCCCAGUAGCGGGGGAUAACUACGCGAAAGCGUAGCUAAUACCGCAUACUAUUGGAGCGGCCGAUAUCGGAUCAGCGAGUUGGUGGGGUAACGGCUUACCAAGGCGACGAUCCCUAGCUGGUCUGAGAGGGCGAUCAGCCACACUGGGACUGAUACACGGCCCAUGCUCCUACGGGAGGAAGCAGUGGGGAAUUUUGGACAAUGGGGGAAAGCCUGAUCCAGCAAGCCCGCGUGAGCGAUGAAGGCCUUCGGAUUGUAAAGCACUGUUGGCAGGGAAGCGGUACCUGCGGAAUAAGCCCCGGCUAACUACGUGCCAGCAGCCGCGGUAAUAC
rnacentral:rRNA from 1 species